UCAUGGGCAGCAAGCUCUCAGAGCAAGCCAGGCAGUCGUUGUGUUGGGUUUUUUUUAAUUACAUCUCUAAGUGGUUUACAAGAAACAAUAAAAUUAUCAAUAAAAACAGUUAAAAACAAGAAAUCAAAAACAGUGAAAAAACAGUGAAAACAACAAUGAACUACAAACACAUGGCUUGCUUGCUUGUUUUGGAGAACUAUCAUUGCCAUCAUCAGGGAACAUGAGAGAGGACGAGUGUGAACUGAGGCCUGAGCCCCAGAUGAAAGGCAGCAACGCCAACCCUUUGAAGUAGGCUAGGUGGAGAGAUAAUGACUGGCCCAAGAUUGGCUCAUCAGUCUCAUAGCUGAACAGAGCUUGGUAUCCAGCUCCUCUUCAUCUUCAUGUUCCUAUAUGGAGUCCAGAGUAGCAGUACAAGAAGCUUUCCCAUUUUAUCCUCACAACAACGCUGUGAGGAUUGUUUGUUUCAUACAUGUGAUGUCACACAAAGGAGCAAUUCUGGUUUUUGGGGAGACACACAAGAGGACCCUGGACCCAAGCACUCAGAAACCUCGAUUAUUAUUCAGGAGGGCAGCCCGGAGGGAUCUUCCUGUUUCUAACCAAGUCCUGCAACCCAGGGCAAGCGGAAAAAAAAACAACUUGGGAGCAUUUUUAAAGAAAUCAUGCCUGAGGUCAUCGGUAUGCCAAAAGAAACUGCCUAGGUUUUCUUUUUUUAGAUGAAAUAGCCAAAACAAGAAAUUUACUGGCCGGAACGCAGCACCACAAUGAAUGCUCCCUUCGGUGGUAGAAAUGUCCAGUCAGCUGAUUUGCACGUGACUCUUCGGUCGAACAAGAGGUCUGCAGGUUACCAAAAUGCUUUACAAAUCAUUGUAAUUAAAUAAGUAAAAAUCUUGCGUGAAGUAAGGCCAGAAAAUAAAGUGCCCAAUAUGAGAAGUGCAUAUGGCAGUUGAUAUACUUGAAGGCGAGACAGAGAGAGAGAGGGGGGGGGGGAAGAAAAACACCGAAACAAAAGGAUCUUUUUGCUUGAGCUGCUCACCCAUUCUCUCCCCCCCGCCCCCCCAUCCCACCCUCUUGCAAAAUACCCGUUUGCCUUAAAAACACUGACAGCUUUCUGGGAAAAGUCCCACGGGAUACAUUGAAAACCAGCAGAUCUAAAAAGUUG